AAACGCAGAAUGGCUGAUGAAGGCAGGACAAACGUGUGCAGCCAGAGUGGCAAGGCUUUCCGCCAGAGGCGAAAUUUGCAUACGCUCGAGAAAAGUCACACAGAAACGUUUCCCUAGGGGUUUCAGCUCUCGAUAGGCAUUGAUGAAGAGAGCAUAAGUUCACACUUAAACGUUCACGACAGGAGAGGGAACAAUCCUCGCACUUUCAGUUCUGACAUUUCCGGCUAUCUGGUGAUGACCCGUUACGAACUCACCGAGCACAUGCGGAGUCAUGAAGACAACCGGAGUCUGCCUGCAUACAAUGUGGUGCAUUGAAUAAGCACAGGCCAUUCCUGAAUCGGGAUAUAAGGCAACGUCGCAGGAAUGUUUGUGUAAUUUAAACCAGUGAAUACUUUGAAAAAUUGAUGAAGACAUGUUGAUCUUAAUUUUUUGUGGUACAUUCUGGUCAUUGUG
rnacentral:lncRNA from 1 species